UACGGAGGAUGCGAGCGUUAUCCGGAUUUAUUGGGUUUAAAGGGUGCGUAGGCGGACUGUCAAGUCAGCGGUAAAAUUGAGAGGCUCAACCUCUUCUCGCCGUUGAAACUGGUGGUCUUGAGUGGAUGAGAAGUACGCGGAAUGCGUGGUGUAGCGGUGAAAUGCAUAGAUAUCACGCAGAACCCCGAUUGCGAAGGCAGCGUACCGGCAUCCAACUGACGCUGAGGCACGAAAGCGUGGGGAUCAAACAGG
rnacentral:rRNA from 1 species